AACGAAGAUUCAUAAAAAAGGGAUAUGAUAUUAAAAAAAACAACAUUCAAGGCAUUAACUUUAGCUAUCAAAUCUUUUAUUUCGUCUGGAUUAGCAUCUCCUGCUGGAAUAACUUCAAUAUCAAGUGUUCUUGGUCUUUUUCUUCCUCCUGUUUUGUCAGAUUUUUUUCUUGUAUUUCGACGAAGUUGUGUUA